rfam:Callithrix jacchus chromosome 22, whole genome shotgun sequence
UCUCAUGCGGUGAUUCUCCAAUGGGAAGCACUUCUUGUUGUCUGAAAUAAAACGAAGUGCCUCCUUUUAGAGAGUUACCGUCUGAGA